GGGGCCGACUGGGGAAGGGGCCGGGAAGAGCUGAGGGCGCACUAGGCGCCGCGCAGAGGCGCCUUUGAGUCGGCAGCCGCGGAGCCAGCGCACGGGCAUCGGCGGGACCCGGCGGACGGAAAGGCGGAGUGGGGGUCUUUGGACUGCACGACUAUAAUUUCAUGUGUGUGAAAUUCAAGGGGAAAAAGGAAACAAUACAUAAUCCAGCAUCACCAGUGUCACACUUCAGGACCUGAUGAAAUGUUUUAUCUUCUGAAAAGCUUUCCUGGCUCAGAUGAGGUGACUCAUGUCAGCCUACACAAAGGCUUCUUCAUAUACUAGAAUUUCUACUAUAAUUUUUCAGCCUUUCCACAAAACAAGUCUUACCAUAAUCCAGCAACAGAGCAAAAGAGAAGUCAAUGAUGAGAAGCUUGAUAAUGUAAAGGUUUAGUUCUAAGGUGGGUAGCAGUCACU
rnacentral:lncRNA from 1 species